UACGGGGGGGGCAAGCGUUGUUCGGAAUUACUGGGCGUAAGGGGCUCGUAGGCGGCCAACUAAGUCAGACGUGAAAUCCCUCGGCUUAACCGGGGAACUGCGUCUGAUACUGGAUGGCUUGAAUUCGGGAGAGGGAUGCAGAAUUCCAGGUGUAGCGGUGAAAUGCGUAGAUAUCUGGAGGAAUACCGGUGGCGAAGGCGGCAUCCUGGACCGACACUGACGCUGAUGAGCGAAAGCUAGGGGAGCAAACGGG
rnacentral:rRNA from 1 species